GACGAACGCUGGCGGCGUGCUUAACACAUGCAAGUCGAACGGAAAGGCCCUGCUUUUGUGGGGUGCUCGAGUGGCGAACGGGUGAGUAACACGUGAGUAACCUGCCCUUGACUUUGGGAUAACUUCAGGAAACUGGGGCUAAUACCGGAUAGGAGCUCCUGCUGCAUGGUGGGGGUUGGAAAGUUUCGGCGGUUGGGGAUGGACUCGCGGCUUAUCAGCUUGUUGGUGGGGUAGUGGCUUACCAAGGCUUUGACGGGUAGCCGGCCUGAGAGGGUGACCGGCAAAAUUGGGACGGAGUGAGGGCCCGGACUCCAACGGAGGGCAGGAGGGGGGAAUUUUGAACAAUGGGCGGAAGCCUGAUGCAGCAAGGCCGGGUGCGGGAGGACGGCCUUCGGGUGGUAAACCGCUUUCGCUUGGGAGGAAGCGUAAGGAACGUAAAUGGGGAAGAAGCACCGGCUAACUACGUG
rnacentral:rRNA from 1 species